rnacentral:rRNA from 1 species
GGGGAAUUUUGGACAAUGGGCGCAAGCCUGAUCCAGCCAUUCCGCGUGAGUGAAGAAGGCCUUCGGGUUGUAAAGCUCUUUCAGCAGGAACGAAACGGUGGGUCUUAAUACGGCCUGCUAAUGACGGUACCUGCAGAAGAAGCACCGGCUAACUACGUGCCAGCAGCCGCGGUAAUACGUAGGGUGCGAGCGUUAAUCGGAAUUACUGGGCGUAAAGCGUGCGCAGGCGGCGACAUAAGACAGAUGUGAAAUCCCCGGGCUCAACCUGGGAACGGCGUUUGUGACUGUGUGGCUAGAGUGUAGCAGAGGGGGGUGGAAUUCCACGUGUAGCAGUGAAAUGCGUAGAGAUGUGGAGGAACACCGAUGGCGAAGGCAGCCCCCUGGGUUAACACUGACGCUCAUGCACGAAAGCGUGGGGAGCAAACA